rnacentral:rRNA from 1 species
UUCAACGGCCGCGGUACUCUGACCGUGCGAAGGUAGCAUAAUCACUUGUUCUUUAAUUGAGGACUCGUAUCAACGGCAUCACGAGGGCCACACUGUCUCCUUUUUCCAAUCAGUGAAACUGAUCUCCCCGUGAAGAAGCGGGGAUAAUCCUAUAAGACGAGAAGACCCCAUGGAGCUUUAAACCCAACAGCAACUCUGAAUAACUAAACCACAAAAAUUAAUUGAGCCCUGAAAUUGUUGGUUUUAGGUUGGGGUGACCGCGGAGCAUAGAUAAACCUCCACGACGAACGGGACUAAACCCUAAUCCAUGAACUACUGUUCUAAGAAUCAACACACUGACUUCUAAUGAUCCGACCCACUCGAUCAACGGACCAAGUUACCCUGGGGAUAACAGCGCUAUCCAUUUCAAGAGCCCCUAUCGACAAAUGGGUUUACGACCUCGAUGUUGGAUCAGGGUAUCCUAGUGGUGCAGCCGCUACUAAAGGUUUGUUUGUUCAACAAUUAAAACCCUAC